ACUUGAAGAAGAUACUUGAAUGCCCAAAAAAACCCACAAAGUAUUGAUAUUCUUCCAAAUAAACAAAAACCCGACAGAGAUCCCAACAGAAAAAUGGACAAAGAACAUGACUUGGCAAUUCACAGAGAAGGAAAAUAAGUUACUUACCAGUAUAUGCGAUGAUCUACCUAAGUACUGACAAACAUCUGAUUUUUGACAAAUGGAGCAAAGGCAACACAAUGUAGAAAAGAUAAUCUUUUCAACAAACAAAAAAAGAGUGAGUGAGGGAACCUAGACAGACCUCACACCCUUCACAAAAAUUAACUCAGAAUGAAUCAAAAUGCUAAAUGUAAAAUGCAAAACUAUAAGGCUCCUAAAAAAUAACAUAGAUGGAAGUUGUUUGUCAAAAAUAUCAAAAGGCUUUAGAACAGGAACUGGGCAUUCAACUCACAGCUUCAAGUGGGUAUAUGGAGGAUACCAUUAUCAAUCACACCAGCUGUGCCAACUUCUGGAUUAACUCUGUUAAGCCAAAACCUCCUGGCUGGCCUCACCCUUUCUGCUUUGCUCUGAAGUCUCCCAAAAGCUCCUAAAAAGGCAGGGUUAUGCAAAGGAUUGUUUUGAUGGUUAGAAAAUGAUUUCAGGUGUCAAGGAAGCAUGUUGCUUAAAAGUUAAUUUCAAACCUUUCAUAAUAGUCCAGAAUUGAUUCAUCUGACUUUUGCUUGUACUGUUGAAUCUCUGUCCAGUCCACUGUUUGGGGAGAAACACUCAGAUAAAUUCCAGUAAUUUCUGAGCUAAUUUCUUCCAAUCAGGGUGAGAAUGAAAGUGGUUCAAAUCCAUUAAGGGAUCUUUUCAUCGUGCUUUCUUUAUUCAUUCCCUUGCUUUGCUUUCAGAAGCUAACAGUUGUAUUAAUUGAUAUAGAUCUGAAAACCCAGGCUGGUGGGUCCAGAUGGUUAACUCAGAUUCCUUAGCAAAUCCCAGUGGGUUCUGACACAGAUCAGGAAAUUCCUUGGCUAAAGCUCUAUGUUCUGCUCUGGUCCAGGGUGUGUUCAUAAGCACCAAGGACGGUUCACCUCUCCCUGUAAUAGGUUUCUCCUUAAAGAGAGCUAUAAUCACUUCUGAUUUUUUUUCCCCUUUACUGGGGAAGUGGGAGCAGCAGGAGGCGGAAAAGUUGUUGGAAGAGAAAAAGAAAUAGCACCUGGGCCAUGCAAUUCAGAUAGAAGAGGAUGUGAGCAAGAGCAGAGGGAGAGACCAAGUCAGAAACAGUACUAACAGCCUUUUUUAGUUUGAUACAGUUUCAAGCAAUUUACUAUUUCCUGAAAAGAAGUUACUCUAGCGUUUCCUUUCUUGGAAGCUUUUAGAUACUAAUUAAAGGAAGCAUUCCAUUCAGUGAGUUUGAUCUUACAGCCAGCUUUUUCUAACUGUGCACACAAAAAUAGCAAUUUUAGAAUAUCAAAAGAAACCCCAAAUUGGGCCAUUUUAGGUUUCGAUCUUCUUCAGUAUAACUUCCCCAAAUAAGUAGAUACUUGCAAAUAUGAGUUUUGCGUGUACAUAAACCUGGCUGGAGUGUUAAUGGCUUUCUGGUUUUCUGAUGCCCCUUAUUUCCUUGUUUGAGAGGCUCCAUUUCCAAUUUUCAGUUGAAUUUGUCAGAUAAAAUUUACUACUGAAAUGACCCACCCAGAAAUGUGGCAGACAAAUUCUAUUACAGCAGCUAAAUUGAGGAAAUGCAUCAAAUCAGUCAGCACAGACCAAUCAGUCUAUAUCUGAGCAAACCUGGGUAUAUUUCAACCAGUCCCACCCGUAUCUUUCACCUGGAUGGAUAUUCUCCAGUAUCUUUCAACCAAGCCCCAACCAGUAUCAGUCCACUGGCACAAUGCGAGACUUGCAAGCCAAGUUUUAUUUGCAGCAAAAUAAAGACUAUAAGAGUUGACUCAUUGGAAAAGACUCUGAUGCUGGGAGAGAUUGGGGGCAGGAAGAAAAGGGGACGACAGAGGAUGAGAUGGCCGGAUGACAUCACCGACUCGAUGGACGUGGGUUUGAGUGAACUCCAGGAGAUUGUGAUGGACAGGGAGGCCUGGUCUGCUGCGAUUCAUGGGGUCGCAAAGAGUAGGACACGACUGAGCGACUGAACCGAACUGAACUCAACUGAAAAACUAUAACCCAGGAGCAGUUUCUCAGAGGUGUCUGAAGUGCUGUCUGUCCGGCUAUAGUCUUGACAUUUUACUCCAAAUAAAAGUUAACUUACAACUCUCACACCGUGCUUUUUUGUUCUUAAGUCGGCACUAUCAAACAAUUUUGAACAGUAAUGACUAACGUACUUUAAAAAGAGUUUGUGUAGCAUUUAGAAUCAGCACAGGUGCAUCGUAUUAGCAGUUUAUACGCACCCCUUUCCCCAUUCCUAUCAAGGAUGCUCAGCCCUCGGCUUUGCCACUGGAAGAAGUGGCUGUGGAAUGCUGUCUUAUUUACAUAUUUGAACCUUGAAUUCCAGAUUCAAAUCCCUAGUGGAAGAGUAGGGUGAUUUACUAAGGGGAGUUAGAUUCCCCCUCCCUGGCUCUCCUCAAAAAAGGUGCCACCAACGCUUUCCUGUCUGGUGGACAGGGAGACCUAUCUUAAUGUUUGUUAUCUCCCAGGAAGCAGUUAUUUAUGUGUCUCCAGGCCCACCUUUAGCUUCCCAGCCUGGCCCUGUGAGUACAC
ensembl:lncRNA